rnacentral:rRNA from 1 species
UACGUAGGGCGCAAGCGUUGUCCGGAAUCAUUGGGCGUAAAGAGCUCGUAGGCGGCCUGUUGCGUCCGCUGUGAAAUCCCGGGGCUUAACCCCGGGCGUGCAGUGGAUACGGGCUGGCUGGAGGCAGGCAGGGGGAGGACGGAAUUCCCGGUGUAGCGGUGAAAUGCGCAGAUAUCGGGAGGAACACCGGUGGCGAAGGCGGUUCUCUGGGCCUGUACUGACGCUGAGGAGCGAAAGCGUGGGGAGCGAACAGG